rnacentral:pre_miRNA from 1 species
AUUGGGACUUUAGCAUUUUCAUGCAAUUUAUAUCAUCAUGAUGUGCUAAUGUGUCGGUUU